rnacentral:rRNA from 1 species
GACGAACGCUGGCGGCGGGCUUAACACAUGCAAGUCGAACGGAAAGGCCCUGCUUGCGUGGGGUGCCCGAGUGGCGAAGGGGUGAGUAACACGUGAGUAACCUGCCCUUGACUUUGGGAUAACUUCAGGAAACUGGGGCUAAUACAGGAUAGGAGCUCCUGCAGCAUGGUGGGGGUUGGAAAGUUUGGGCGGUUGGGGAUGGACUCGCGGCUGAUCAGCUUGUGGGUGGGGGAGUGGCUUACCAAGCCAUCGGCGGGUAGCCGGCCUGGGAGGGUGGCCGGCCACCUUACGCCUGCGGGACGGCCCAGUCUGCUACGGGGGGCAACGGUGGAAAGUAUUGCACAGUGGGCGGGAGCCUGAUACAGAGGCGCCGCGUGCGGGAUGCCGGCCUUCGGGUUGUGAACCGCUUUCGCCUAUGACGAAGCGGGAGUGACGGUACUGGGUGAAGAAGCACCGGCUAACUACGUG